AUGCUGCCUCUUUAUAUAUGCUUGCUGACGUCUCUUCUUUGGGAAAUAUUUAGUGCCUCUAAAUCAACGAUGAGAGUUGAAUCAAAGCGAGAUGAAGCUUCGGUGAAGAGAACAAGAAAAGAUGAUGGAUUUGCCUGACCUCGCACAUUCAUUUUUGGUCUAUGCCUACAAGUUGUUUGAUAUAAAUCCAACCAGGAAUUUGGCCCGUUGUUCUUUCAUUUGUUCAUCUCUAGACCCACUCCAUCGGCUUCCUGUAUUAUUGUUUCUGGAGCAUGAACUUUCCCUGUAUCAACCAUGGUGCUUUCCAUCUUCUUGAAGGUUGUUGCUACUACUAUUUUUAUUUGGUUCUUCUUUAAUUUUAGUUUAGAAUUGUACAUAUGCCGGAGUCCUUUAUUUAUUUUUCUUUGCUGCAACAUGUAGCCUGGUUUAGGCAUAUUUCACUUGAUCACUCAACCAUUCCGAGAAACUUUUCUACUAAUGCGAAGAUCUACUGGCUUUGGUACAUUCAGUCUUGGCAAAACAGUUACAAAUAGUUAAUUAUUUAUAGUUUGUUCGAAACAAACCACAUUGCUGAUGCAUGCAGCAUUUUUAUACAACUGAUUUUAUCUUCAUCUCCCAUUUCAAGGUAUUAUUGAAAUUUCGAUGCAUCUCAUUGUCUUGAGGUUGCAGAAUAGGUUCUUAUGCUUGAGACAAUUUCAAACAAAACUACUGAAUUUUUCUUUGAAAUUUUACCUUCCAUGUACUG